GGUUAAGCGACUAAGCGUACACGGUGGAUGCCCUGGCAGUCAGAGGCGAUGAAGGACGUGCUAAUCUGCGAUAAGCGUCGGUAAGGUGAUAUGAACCGUUAUAACCGGCGAUUUCCGAAUGGGGAAACCCAGUGUGUUUCGACACACUAUCAUUAACUGAAUCCAUAGGUUAAUGAGGCGAACCGGGGGAACUGAAACAUCUAAGUACCCCGAGGAAAAGAAAUCAACCGAGAUUCCCCCAGUAGCGGCGAGCGAACGGGGAGCAGCCCAGAGCCUGAAUCAGUGUGUGUGUUAGUGGAAGCGUCUGGAAAGGCGCGCGAUACAGGGUGACAGCCCCGUACACAAAAAUGCACAUGCUGUGAGCUCGAUGAGUAGGGCGGGACACGUGGUAUCCUGUCUGAAUAUGGGGGGACCAUCCUCCAAGGCUAAAUACUCCUGACUGACCGAUAGUGAACCAGUACCGUGAGGGAAAGGCGAAAAGAACCCCGGCGAGGGGAGUGAAAAAGAACCUGAAACCGUGUACGUACAAGCAGUGGGAGCCUCUUUAUGGGGUGACUGCGUACCUUUUGUAUAAUGGGUCAGCGACUUAUAUUCUGUAGCAAGGUUAACCGAAUAGGGGAGCCGAAGGGAAACCGAGUCUUAACUGGGCGUUAAGUUGCAGGGUAUAGACCCGAAACCCGGUGAUCUAGCCAUGGGCAGGUUGAAGGUUGGGUAACACUAACUGGAGGACCGAACCGACUAAUGUUGAAAAAUUAGCGGAUGACUUGUGGCUGGGGGUGAAAGGCCAAUCAAACCGGGAGAUAGCUGGUUCUCCCCGAAAGCUAUUUAGGUAGCGCCUCGUGAAUUCAUCUCCGGGGGUAGAGCACUGUUUCGGCAAGGGGGUCAUCCCGACUUACCAACCCGAUGCAAACUGCGAAUACCGGAGAAUGUUAUCACGGGAGACACACGGCGGGUGCUAACGUCCGUCGUGAAGAGGGAAACAACCCAGACCGCCAGCUAAGGUCCCAAAGUCAUGGUUAAGUGGGAAACGAUGUGGGAAGGCCCAGACAGCCAGGAUGUUGGCUUAGAAGCAGCCAUCAUUUAAAGAAAGCGUAAUAGCUCACUGGUCGAGUCGGCCUGCGCGGAAGAUGUAACGGGGCUAAACCAUGCACCGAAGCUGCGGCAGCGACGCUUAUGCGUUGUUGGGUAGGGGAGCGUUCUGUAAGCCUGCGAAGGUGUGCUGUGAGGCAUGCUGGAGGUAUCAGAAGUGCGAAUGCUGACAUAAGUAACGAUAAAGCGGGUGAAAAGCCCGCUCGCCGGAAGACCAAGGGUUCCUGUCCAACGUUAAUCGGGGCAGGGUGAGUCGACCCCUAAGGCGAGGCCGAAAGGCGUAGUCGAUGGGAAACAGGUUAAUAUUCCUGUACUUGGUGUUACUGCGAAGGGGGGACGGAGAAGGCUAUGUUGGCCGGGCGACGGUUGUCCCGGUUUAAGCGUGUAGGCUGGUUUUCCAGGCAAAUCCGGAAAAUCAAGGCUGAGGCGUGAUGACGAGGCACUACGGUGCUGAAGCAACAAAUGCCCUGCUUCCAGGAAAAGCCUCUAAGCAUCAGGUAACAUCAAAUCGUACCCCAAACCGACACAGGUGGUCAGGUAGAGAAUACCAAGGCGCUUGAGAGAACUCGGGUGAAGGAACUAGGCAAAAUGGUGCCGUAACUUCGGGAGAAGGCACGCUGAUAUGUAGGUGAAGCGACUUGCUCGUGGAGCUGAAAUCAGUCGAAGAUACCAGCUGGCUGCAACUGUUUAUUAAAAACACAGCACUGUGCAAACACGAAAGUGGACGUAUACGGUGUGACGCCUGCCCGGUGCCGGAAGGUUAAUUGAUGGGGUUAGCGGUAACGCGAAGCUCUUGAUCGAAGCCCCGGUAAACGGCGGCCGUAACUAUAACGGUCCUAAGGUAGCGAAAUUCCUUGUCGGGUAAGUUCCGACCUGCACGAAUGGCGUAAUGAUGGCCAGGCUGUCUCCACCCGAGACUCAGUGAAAUUGAACUCGCUGUGAAGAUGCAGUGUACCCGCGGCAAGACGGAAAGACCCCGUGAACCUUUACUAUAGCUUGACACUGAACAUUGAGCCUUGAUGUGUAGGAUAGGUGGGAGGCUUUGAAGUGUGG
rnacentral:rRNA from 1 species